CCACCCUUGUAGUGUUGAUGUUCUAACGUUGACCCCUUAUCGGGGUUGCGGACAGUGCCUGGUGGGUAGUUUGACUGGGGCGGUCUCCUCCCAAAGAGUAACGGAGGAGCACGAAGGUGGGCUAAUCACGGUUGGACAUCGUGAGGUUAGUGCAAUGGCAUAAGCCCGCUUGACUGCGAGAAUGACAAUUCGAGCAGGUGCGAAAGCAGGUCAUAGUGAUCCGGUGGUUCUGAAUGGAAGGGCCAUCGCUCAACGGAUAAAAGGUACUCCGGGGAUAACAGGCUGAUACCGCCCAAGAGUUCAUAUCGACGGCGGUGUUUGGCACCUCGAUGUCGGCUCAUCACAUCCUGGGGCUGAAGUCGGUCCCAAGGGUAUGGCUGUUCGCCAUUUAAAGUGGUACGCGAGCUGGGUUUAGAACGUCGUGAGACAGUUCGGUCCCUAUCUGCCGUGGGCGUUGGAAGAUUGAAGGGGGCUGCUCCUAGUACGAGAGGACCGGAGUGGACGAACCUCUGGUGUUCGGGUUGUGUCGCCAGACGCAUUGCCCGGUAGCUAAGUUCGGAAUCGAUAACCGCUGAAAGCAUCUAAGCGGGAAGCGAGCCCUGAGAUGAGUCUUCCCUGAUACUUUAAGUAUCCUAAAGGGUUGUCGGAGACUACGACGUUGAUAGGUCAGGUGUGUAAGUGCUGUGAGGCAUUGAGCUAACUGAUACUAAUUGCCCGUGAGGCUUAACCAUACAACAC
rnacentral:rRNA from 1 species